UCUGAUAGGCUACUAGGAGUCGGCU
rnacentral:piRNA from 1 species